GGAAAAGGCAGGAAUUUCUUGGGCAUUAGGAGGAGCCAAUAUGGUUUUCCCAGCAUGGCGCCUGUCCCUACACUGCAUCUUGAAGCUCUUGGAAGCAGACACUGAAAGCCAGCACACCCAACCUCCCACCACACUCCAGCCCUGGUUUUUGGGAAGCUGGUCUGCAAAUGGGAGCCUGGACCAGCUGGCAUAUCCUGGAGAGGCAAUGCUGGAGACACGCCACAGCAGACACCACCCCACAGAGAGAGCCUGGAGCCAGCCUGGGGUGCUACUGGGAUUCUCCUGCCUGUGGAUAUUCUCCUGCUGCCCUGGUGUCACCGAAACUGUGGGAAAAACAAAAACCCUCCAACAACAUUUUUAUGUUAGAGAGUCAAGGCAUUGCUUUAGUAUAUGGUCAGGAUGUUGUUCUGGCCAGGACGUACUGCAGAAACCAUCUCAUCUACACAAAGCCCCGGUGUGCAGAGAGAAUCGCUCCAUGACACACGCUUUUACAAGAUUUCCCCCAAACUUUAUACAGUCAAAACCCAUAGAAAUGCACUGUUUCAAAACUGAUUUGUCCAGAGUUGAGUAACCCCCAGUACUCAGCUUCCCAUUGGA